UACGGGGGGGGCAAGCGUUGUUCGGAAUUACUGGGCGUAAAGGGCGCUUAGGCGGCCUGCUAAGUCGGAUGUGAAAUCCCUCGGCUCAACCGAGGAACUGCAUCCGAUACUGGCGGGCUUGAAUCCGGGAGAGGGAUGUGGAAUUCCAGGUGUAGCGGUGAAAUGCGUAGAUAUCUGGAGGAACACCGGUGGCGAAGGCGGCAUCCUGGACCGGUAUUGACGCUGAGGCGCGAAAGCUAGGGGAGCAAACGGG
rnacentral:rRNA from 1 species